rnacentral:rRNA from 1 species
GAUAAACGCUGGCGGCGUGCCUAAUACAUGCAAGUCGAGCGAACGGACGAGAAGCUUGCUUCUCUGAUGUUAGCGGCGGACGGGUGAGUAACACGUGGAUAACCUACCUAUAAGACUGGGAUAACUUCGGGAAACCGGAGCUAAUACCGGAUAAUAUUUUGAACCGCAUGGUUCAAAAGUGAAAGACGGUCUUGCUGUCACUUAUAGAUGGAUCCGCGCUGCAUUAGCUAGUUGGUAAGGUAACGGCUUACCAAGGCAACGAUGCAUAGCCGACCUGAGAGGGUGAUCGGCCACACUGGAACUGAGACACGGUCCAGACUCCUACGGGAGGCAGCAGUAGGGAAUCUUCCGCAAUGGGCGAAAGCCUGACGGAGCAACGCCGCGUGAGUGAUGAAGGUCUUCGGAUCGUAAAACUCUGUUAUUAGGGAAGAACAUAUGUGUAAGUAACUGUGCACAUCUUGACGGUACCUAAUCAGAAAGCCACGGCUAACUACGUGCCAGCAGCCGCGGUAAUACGUAGGUGGCAAGCGUUAUCCGGAAUUAUUGGGCGUAAAGCGCGCGUAGGCGGUUUUUUAAGUCUGAUGUGAAAGCCCACGGCUCAACCGUGGAGGGUCAUUGGAAACUGGAAAACUUGAGUGCAGAAGAGGAAAGUGGAAUUCCAUGUGUAGCGGUGAAAUGCGCAGAGAUAUGGAGGAACACCAGUGGCGAAGGCGACUUUCUGGUCUGUAACUGACGCUGAUGUGCGAAAGCGUGGGGAUCAAACAGGAUUAGAUACCCUGGUAGUCCACGCCGUAAACGAUGAGUGCUAAGUGUUAGGGGGUUUCCGCCCCUUAGUGCUGCAGCUAACGCAUUAAGCACUCCGCCUGGGGAGUACGACCGCAAGGUUGAAACUCAAAGGAAUUGACGGGGACCCGCACAAGCGGUGGAGCAUGUGGUUUAAUUCGAAGCAACGCGAAGAACCUUACCAAAUCUUGACAUCCUUUGACAACUCUAGAGAUUGAGCCUUCCCCUUCGGGGGACAAAGUGACAGGUGGUGCAUGGUUGUCGUCAGCUCGUGUCGUGAGAUGUUGGGUUAAGUCCCGCAACGAGCGCAACCCUUAAGCUUAGUUGCCAUCAUUAAGUUGGGCACUCUAAGUUGACUGCCGGUGACAAACCGGAGGAAGGUGGGGAUGACGUCAAAUCAUCAUGCCCCUUAUGAUUUGGGCUACACACGUGCUACAAUGGACAAUACAAAGGGCAGCGAAACCGCGAGGUCAAGCAAAUCCCAUAAAGUUGUUCUCAGUUCGGAUUGUAGUCUGCAACUCGACUACAUGAAGCUGGAAUCGCUAGUAAUCGUAGAUCAGCAUGCUACGGUGAAUACGUUCCCGGGUCU